rnacentral:lncRNA from 1 species
CCCGGCUGCAGGUUUUUUUAUUUAUUUAUUUUGAUCUGUCAAUCGGACCUAGCAGUUAGAGGCAAAGCAUCAACAAACUAUGGUGGAUGAGCGUUUUAUACAACAAAUCCAGGAAGUGUACCUCCUGCCUCAAACUCUAGACUUUCACCUCUUCCUCCUGAACCUGCAGGUUUCAGCUAUGAUGGUGGUGCAACAAUUGAUAUUCCUCUUGACACAGCAGGAUCAAAUUUUCAGGAUUUAAAAAAGGAAAGAGAGGGCAGGUGGAGAUUUUUUGGGAGAGGGGCGUUCCAAAGAGGAGGAGGCUGAGGAGAAGCGGGAAAUCCAUUUUACCACCAUUUUUCUGAUUCCAGGUAUGACUUCAAUCCACUUUGCGCUUCCCGUUAUGAACUGUUCUUUUCUGUUCUCAUUGUUCAUGGUUCAUAACGCUUGAAGACUACAUGCAUUUCUCUGUUCUGGAAUAAAGAUCCAUCGCUGCUUUUGUUUUUUUUUUGGAGAUCAUGUUUCUUUUAUAUUUUCUCUCUUAUAUACAUGCUCAGUUUUUCUUCACCCUCCCCUUUGUUUCUAGUAUUUUUUUUUUUUUUUUUUGUUCUUUUUUUUUUAAAAAAAAGAAGUUGGGUAUCACGUUUGGUCUGGAUGUUUUGAUUGGAGUAAUUCUAAGGGAGCUCAGAUGAUGAGGACGAUGGUCAUUGGUAUAUGAACUGUUAAAUAAAUCUUCACAGCCUCACCUUUCUCUCAUUUUUUCUCUCGUUUUCUCUCCACUCAAACAUCCUUUCCUGUGGUUCUCUUCCUCUCCUUUCUUUAUUUCUUUUAUUUCUUUCUUCUUCUUUCCUUCUCUCUCCGUCUCCAUGGAAAGCCUCUCACCUGCUCAAACACUUCUGCCAACACUAGUAUAAAGUCGACUGCUCAAAAAGGACAAGGCUCUAGCAGCUUCGGGACCUUGCCCUCCAGACCAAACGCCCUCCAUUAGACGUUGCUGAACCUGUGGUUUGCAAGCUAGAAGACGAUCCAAACUUCAAGGUCGACAAAAGUUCGGUGCUGGCCACCAAUGGCGCGGUGGAAAUGGAUGCAUUCAUCAGGAUGGAGACACGCCGAAGCAUAGGGGCUGCUGUAGGCAAGACCGUCGUCGCCGGAGCAACCAACAAGUGCGCCAUUAUCGACGGUGGGAGCACGUGCAGCGGCGGGCGCGUGGUUAAGCCGAAGGGUCCCUACGGCUGCACCUAGCUGGUGCACUCGCCUGCAAAGAAACCAACUGUCAUGAUAGCCUAGAGAUUGCUAGAUCUCUAUACGUUUCUUGAAUGCAAGGAAAGGUGGUAGUGCUACAUGGGAGGUGCCUGUGGCAGCUAAUGGGCUUGAAGGCUUGGGUGAUUUUGCUAGUGGAUUUGGGCUUGUGAUGAAGCCCAAGCCCAAGUGUGAGGAUAAAAAAAAAUAAAAAAUAAAAAGAAAAGGAGGGAGAAGAAAGCCUCAUGUUUUAUUCACAUGUUAAAGCUGGCCCGUUUGGUUGAAACUUUCUAACUCCCGAUGUCCAAGCCCAAUUUACAAAAAUUCAACUUUCAAAUAAUGCUUCAAAAUUUCGGCCUUUAAAAUUAAAUUUUUAGUCCUGAAAAUUUCAAUAUUCGCAUUAAUUUAUUUAAUCAUUAUUAUUAUUUAUUCAUUUUAAAAUUUCAUUUUAAACAAUUCUUUAAAAAUUUCGAUUUUCGAAUUUAAUUUCUUAGUCCAAAAAUUUCAAUAUUCGCAUUAAUUUAUUUAAUUAUUAUUAUUUAUCUAUUUAUUUUAAAAAUCCAUUUUAAACAAUUCUUUAAAAAUUUUGACUUUCAAAUUUAAUUUCUAAUUCCAAAAAUUUCAACAUUCACAUUAAUUUAUUUAAUCAUUAUUAUUUAUUUAUUCAUUUAAAGUUCUAUUUUAAACAAUUCUUUAAAAAUUCAAACUUUUGAAUUUAAUUUCUUAUUCCAAAAUUUUCAAUGUUCACAUUAAUUUACUUAAUCAUUAUUAUCUUAUUUAUUUAUUUAUUUUAAGAUUCCAUUUUAAACAAUUCGUUAAAACUUUUGAUUUCCUAAUCUAAUUUCCAACUCCAAAAAUUCUAACAUUCACAUUAAUUUCUAACCCCAAAAAUUCCAGUAUUUGCAUUAAUUUAUUUAGUCAUUAUUAUUUAUUUAUUUAUUUUAAGAUUCCAUUUUAAACAAUUCGUUAAAACUUCCAAUUUCCUAAUCUAAUUUCCAACUCCAAAAAUUCUAACAUUCACAUUAAUUUAUAAUUCCAAAAAUUCUAAUAUUCGCAUUAAUUUAUUUAGUCAUUAUUAUUUAUUUAUUUAUUUUAAAAAUUCAAUUUUAAACAAUUCUCUAAAACUCUUGAUUUUCGAAUACAAUUUCUAAUUUCUAGGACUCUUUUUUUUUUACAUUUAUUUACUCAAUCAUUAUUAUUUUCGCUGUUGUUACCGUCAUUUUAUUUAUUUGUUUAUUCCAUCUUUAAAUAAUUUUCAAAAUUCUGAUUUUUUUCAAAAUUUAAUUUCUAACAUUCUAGUUCCUAAAUUUAAUUUUCAAAAUCCCAAUAUGCUUCAAAUUUACUUUCUAAAAUUCCACUUUUUAAAUUUAAUUCCCAAUACUCAAAUUUUCAAAUAAUUCUCAAGACUUCAAUUUUCUAAUAAAUUUCAAAAAUCUUGCUUUCUUUCAAGCUAUUUUUAUUCCACUCUGAUUUUCAAGUAACCUUUUAUUCCUCUCGACUUCACAUAAGCAAGAAUGAUAAAUUUUUCAUAAUUCUAAAAUAAUGGAAUUUGUGAGAUUGAUUAAUGUAAAAAUAAAUCAAGUUUUGGUGAGGGGCCCCAUAUACAUGAUUUUAUAAUUGAUUGAUUGAUUGAUUUGAUUAUCAUGCGUGAUUGAUUUAUUCUGUUCCUCAAUAUGCAUAUAACCAUUCUGUGUUCGUUCACUAACCCCAUUUAUGAUAGCACAUUGCGGCCCAUGGUCCAGGUACGUAUUCACUCAUUUUGAUCAUUCCUUAUAGAUAUUCUGAUUCUCAUAUAUGCAUGAUUGAUAUGAGUAUCCAUCGAUUUUCUUGUUGAUUGCCGCGUCAAUUCAUUUUAUUAGUAGAGACCCGACUUUAGGAAUUUAGAGGGGUGUUACGGUUCAUAUCGUACCUUCCCAAUAAGUAACCUGACUCCCGAGCUCGAUUCGAUUUUUCACAGACCACCUUUUUUCCAAAACAAGGAGUCACACUUAGGGUUUUCUUUCUUAUUUUGUUUACCUUUUUAAAAAUAAAACAAAAAUAAGUGGCGAUUCCAAGUCAUUUUUAAUCAAUAAAUUAUUUUUCAAAUAAAAAUCGAGCUCGCCUUCAAGUGGGAAACGCAUGAGUCGAAAUACAGGGUCCACAAUAGGGUUUUGCCAAAAAUUAAGUUGUGAUUAAAAAAAUAGUAUUUGUGGUAAAAAAAAAAAAUUGUUUGUGACAACUUUGUUGCUAUAAAUCUACGUGCAAUUAUUUUUAAGCAUAAAAUUUAAUUUUAUAACCAAAUAAAUAAUUUUUUUCACAAAAAAAAAAAAAAGAAUUGUGACAAAUUACGGUUUUUCAACACAAUAAGAGCAUUCAUAAUUUUAACAAUUGAUUUUCCAAUUCUCAAAUUGUGGAUAAUUGAAACUAGAUUUCAAUUCUUCAUGAAUCUCAAAUUUUAAUAAUUUGUACCAUUUAAUAAUUGAGCUGAUUGUGAUGUUGGCAUUGCAUGAACUUCAUGGUUUAGGGAUUCAUAUUCUUAAUAAAAUAUCUCAUUUUUAUAAUAUAUUUUUAUUAUAAAAUUGAGUAAAUAAAAUAAAAAAUGAUUAAAAAUGUGAUAAAAUUAAAAAUAUAAACAUAAAAUAUUUAUUUUCAUUAUCAAUUUAUCAAGUUUUUAAAAAUAUUUCCCUAUUUUCCUCUUUUCUUGAUCAGAAUGCGACUCUUUCUAUAUCUAAUUGAUUUCUUAAGAAGAUUAAACAAAUGUGAAAUAUAGCUAGUGGUAAAAAAUACAAGCUCAUUAAUAGUCAAAACAUUAAAAUUUAAAAGUAAAAUUAUUUUAUAGUCUCCGGUUUAAAUAUAUCAUUUGUUUGUACACAUCUUUUUAAUAUCUUUAGUUUUUUUUCUCAUAAUCUAUUAUCUUAAUUUGAGUUCUUUGGUUAACUUCUUUCUUUUAUUAUUUUUUAAUUUAAUUUUUUAAUAUUAAUGUUUUUAUUGGUUUUCUUUCAAUGUUAAUCAAUUUAAAAAGUUGUACUUUAUGAAAUAGUGAUAAUGCGUUAUAUAAAUUAUCCUAGUAAAAGAUUUAAAUUAUAAUCCUAUUAAAUUUUAAUUUGUUUGUAAUAUAAAAAAGAAUCUAAAUAGAGAAAAAGAUGUUGAAGAAAGAAAAGAUAAACAAAAGAUACUAAUUAAUAGAGUGGUGAAUUUUUAUAUUUUCAGGUGAGAAUUUAAUAUUUUGUUUUUAAGUUAUUUAUUUUAAUAUUAAUAUUAAUUUUUAUUUAACAAUAACUAAUAUAAUUUUUAUUUAAUUUUAUAAUGGAAAGAGAUAAGAAGAUGUAUUUUCGUAAGAAAUAUUAGAUGGUUAAAGUAUUUGAGUAUCAAAUUAUUAUGUGUUAUUUCAGGAUUAGGGAAGUCAAUUUUUUGGUUGAAUGACUUUACUUUCAUAAUAAAGUUGUUUUGAACUUGAGUUUUAAAAUAGCAAACAUGAAAGUAGGUUCAUGAAUUUUUCACUCAAUGCAUGCAAAUUAUGGCUUACAAGUAGGAUAUAGUACAUGGUAUCCCUCUAACAUAAUGGUAGUACCAAAUCAUUCCUAAAUUUGAGAACAUGAUUUACAAUGCUAAAGCUCGAUAAUAAUUAUGGUGUCAUCUAAAGCCUAAACCAUUUGAUGAUCAAAUUGACAUCUUGUUAGUCUUAUUUAUUUAUUUAUUUUUCAAGUAGGCUUUUGAUUGCCCUUGAAAGGCUUGGAGGUUGCCUUAAAAUGUUGUCACUGGAUUGCAUAAUUAGAGAUCAUAAUUGAGUAAAUUGCAAGUGAACUUGAUUUUCCUAACAAUCAAUAACCAACCAAACAUAAGUAGAUCAAUUGUUGCACAAUGAACAUACAAGUGAAAAAGUCAUGUUAUCUAAGGUUGAUUAUCCAAGAACAUUCUAACCCAUUAGACUCAUUUUAAAGUGGUGUUUGUUUUUUGGUUGAAUAGAAAAAGUUAAAUAUUUUGGCUUUUUCUAUUCAGCUAAAAGUAACAUGUUAACAUCAUCCAAUAUGGAUAAAAUGAACUUGUUAUCAAUAAGUUUAUUUUAAUUAUAUUAGAUGAUGUCAUCGGGUUACUUUUAGCUGAAUAAAGAAAACCAAAUAUUUUGACUUUUUCUAUUAAGCCAAAAAACAAACACCACAUAAUAAAUGAAGAGAUUUCUACUCUAAUGAUUAUCCUCAUAAGACAUUCUUGAAUAUAUUUGAUUAAACUCAUAUGUCAAGCCAAACUCUGAACAUCCUAUUAAAAUGAUAUUAUGAACAUCCCAUCAAAUGAUAUUAUAAACAUCCUAUCAAAUGAUGUUAUGAAUCCUUUAUUUACUAUUGGAUUUUAUUUAACGAAUUUUCACGGUGUCAUAUUUCACUUUUGAAAGCAAUAUUUCAUAAUUUAAGACAUGAUUAAAAAUUUACUCAAACAAUAUACAUAAAUUUAGCAAAUAACAAAGAUUCCUUUAUCAUAUGUAUUUUAUAAUUUAUGAAAUGUCAAUUCACGCAAUACAAGAAGUCGAAUACUUAUAAAUUAUAACUUUCAUCAUUGUGCAAGACCACACGCUUAACAAACCAUUUUAUUAGGGAUAUAAUAAUUAACAGAACAAAAUGCGUAUGAAAAUCUAGCAUGUGUUUGAAUAAAUAAACUCUAUCAAAUGAAGGAAAUGAUUGAAGGAAACAUCAUUGACAAUUUCUGAAACACCAUUAAUAAUUUCUCCUUCAAGGGCUGCAUCUGUACUUCACCUCAAAUGGAGCAGAACAUAAAGUAAAUCUAGUGUACCUAAAAAAAAAUGAUAAGAACAAAAGAAAAUGAUACCAUUUAAAUAUAAAUAACGUAAAAAUUAGCAAUAGUAUUUAUAGAAUAUAUUAUGAAGAACCAAAACAUAUUCUUACUUCUGGAUAAAAAGAAUGGAUUCCACCUCCAUCCUAUUAAUAUUUAAUAUUUUUUAAAAUUAAAAUUUCUUUAAUCAUGUUUUUCAAUUCCUUUAUAUUUGAUUUAUUAAUUUGUAUAUUAUUUGAAAAAAAAUUUCUUUUAUUAAUUUAAGAAAUUUAUUAUUACAUGUUAAUAGUAAACAUACAAAAUAUUUUUCUUUGUUUGAUAUUCAUCAAAGUUAUACUUAUCAUAAAUUUAUAUUAUAUCAUUUGCAUACUAUACUAAUUUGAAUUAGCAAAGGUUUUUUUCAUUAUAAAAGGUGUAUUAUUUAGUUAAAUUAGAUGAAAAUAAAGGAAGUUAAUUAUUAUGAAUGUAAAAGGAUAGAAUAUUUACAGUUUUUGUUAUCUAUUAAAAAUAAAUCCUAUAAUUUUUUUUAAUGAGGGUGAUUUGACAGUAUUUUGAAAUAAUGAUAGUUAAUCUCUUAUAUGAAAUAUAUUUAAAAUUAAAUUUUAAAUUAAUUUAAUAAUUUGUUAUUAAAAAUUAAUAUAAUCUUCAUACUUUUUUCUUUUUUUUUAUAGAAUAUUUCUAUCAAUAAUUCAAAAAAAAAAAAAAACAGUGUAAGAAGAAAUAAAAAGUAUGGGAAAGAAAUAUAAAAAGUAUGAGAAAAAAACUAACCUUCUUAUAAAAGAGUACUACAUCUUCCGUAGGUCUUCCAUACUACAAUCACUGAUAUGUAGUUCUUGAAGGUUUUGAAUAUUCAUGAGUGUCAUAAGAGAGGAAAUAUGUUUCAUCCUAUCAUUCCCGUCUUCCAUCCAUCUCAGCCUAGGCAACUUCUUCAAUUUCAAGGUUUCUAACUUUGAGAAGAUCUCAACAUUUCCAUCAUUUUCUUGAAGAAUAUUCACAUGCUCUAGGAGUUCACAAUCUUGCACAUCUAUCUCUUUUAAAUUCUGGAAGUUGUGUAUCAAAUGAGUUGGGACAAGAUUGAGUAGACAUGGACAUUCAUACACCCUUAAGAUCUGUAGAUUGGAGAAGGAUUCAAAUGGAAGUUGAUGAUGCCAUAUAUCCUUCAACUUGGGCAGAUAUUUGAGUGUCAACUCCUCUAACUUAGGGAAUGAAACCUAUAACAUGAUACAUGACAUCAUCAAUUGGAAAGUUAUAAUAAAUAUAAAUAUAUUUCUUAAAUAUAAUUCAUCAACUUGAGAUUAUUCGCAUGUUUACUUUAAUUAUAUUUAUAGAAAGAAAUGAAAGGAUAAGGGAUUCUCAUGCUGAUGCCACAAAUUAUUUUUACUCAUAUAAAUAAUUUCUUAUUUUAAAUCAUAAACAUUCUUUUAUUUUUCUCUCAUUAAUAAAUUCUUUUGAAUGUCUUUUUUAAAUUUCCUUUUUCUUUUAAAAAUUUUGAUGAUUUCACUCUUAAAUUUAUUUUGUAUUUAUUCCUAUUAACUUGACUUUUUUUUCUUAUUUAAAGUAAAAUUAUACUUAUAGUUUUUCCUUAUUUAAAUACUCAUUCCUAUUAAUAUUUAAUGUGUUUAAAAUUAAAAUUUCUUUUAACCUUAUUAGUUUUGCAACUCCUUCAUGUUUUAUAUAUUAUUUGUUAUUUUUUUAUAUUAUUUUAAAUGAAAUGUUCAAAUAAUUUUAACAUGGUGGAGUUUGGAAAGUGCAUGUGGGCCCACCCUAGUUUUUCUUUUGACUUAUAUCAAUAUAAAGUGGUGCAAAAAAAAAAAAAAACAAAUGAAAUCAGCUAAUAAGCUUUAACAUACCUUAUGACUGAAAAAUGAGUCUUCUGACCUUGCAUUUGUACUCAAAGAUGUGGAAGAUGUUGUUUCUAACUCGGAACUGAAGUUGAUGAGCUGUGGUAGAUCAUAGAGAAUCAAGGAUCGCAAUUUUGGGAAUAGUUGCAAAUUGGUCCCACCAUGUCCAUCUUCUUGUAUUUCUGAUUCCCUUUUAUAUGCGAUUAUUUGUUGCAUGGCAACACAAUAUUCUAUUGUCAUUUCUUCAAGUUGGGGAAGGCCUCUAGCCGUGGAAAGCAGAAAGAGAAAUUUCAAUUUAGGACAUGAAUACACAUUUAGAGUUUUUAAGUUACCAAAAGAUUCUAUUGGAAUUGGGCCAUGCCAUACUUCUUCCAAGUUUUCCAACUUCAUAAGAAUCAAUGACUCCAAUAGAGGAAAGGCACCAUGUUGCAGAAACCAUUGAUCCUUUGAAUCAAUGAUAUAUUGAAUCUCGGGACUGUUAAAAACUUGAAGAUGCUUCAGUUCACGAAAACUCUCCCUAUCUGAUGGGUAAAGCACAUAUUUAGUACCACUUAAUUUGUAGAACUGUAGUUCUUCACUUCUCUCCAACAACUUGCUCAUUCCAUCCCCCAAAUGUAAGCUUCUAUUGACUUCAUAGAGAUUCAAUGCUCUUUUGGUUCUCAACCCGCCCGAAACACCUAUAAAUAUCCCAUAUCUUGUCAAGUUCUCAAAUAGAAUGUCUUUUGGUAGCAACUUGGCAUUUGGUAUAUCUAUCUCUAAAGUUGUCAAAUGAGACAAAUGAUUUAGCUCGGAUAAGCAAGCAUUGCUUUCACCUUCAACCGCCCAUUGAGUAAAGCUAGAUUUCAUGUACAAACAUUCUAAUCGAGACAAACUUGAUAAGAUAUUUUGUGGAAUUACUUCAAGCUCCUUGCAAUCAUUCAAAUCCAACAGCCUUAGAUUGGUCAAUUGCACCAUUUCAUUAGGCAAUUGUUGGAUUGUAGAACCCAUCAAGCUAAGAACUUCUAGUUUCGUUAGCUUUCCAAUUAGAGCAAUGUCUUCCAACUUGCACCCAUCUAGACGCAAUGUUUGGAGAUUUGUAAGGGAAUCAAGUGAUGAAGGUAGCACUGUAAAACGCAUUUUGGACAAAUCUAAUACUUUGAGUUUUUUCAUUCCUUCGAAAAAUGUGUUCGGGAUAUUCAAGGAAGGAUUGUUGUUAUGCAAUUGGAAAAAUUGAAGGUCCGGACAUACCAACCCUUGAGGAAGCUCAUGCACAGCUUUGCAAUGCAAAGAGAUGAAAGUGUAGCUUUUGGAUUCAUCAGUCUCUGACCAUUCUUCCAAUCCAACAUCUUCUCUGACUACAAAUGGAUGAGGAUCCUUGGAUGCAAUUUCUCUGACAACAUUGCAAACAACAUCGUGCAUCCUCACAAACUUGUCUCUAUCUUCAUGACUGUCGAGUAACAAGCUUGAGGCUUUAAGGAUUUCCACCAAUGCAAGUAGUCUAUUUCUUGCUUGCUCCAAUGAGUCGAUGCGGUCAAACAAAUCCAGACCCAUAGCAUAUGGUAACAAGAGAUCCAAUGAAAUAUUACCAUAGCCCAGCAUCCCACAAAGUAAGAACAAUGACUUAAUGUCAUCACCCUUCAAAUGGGUGUAGCUCCACUCCAGACAUGAGUAAACCUUCUUACCCACUGCUUUAAUGUUUACUGCUGCACAACUCCUGAGUUGUUCCAAGGCAUUCUUCCAUACAGCCACGGUCUCAUCUUUUAAUGCCUUGGCUUGUUACAAUUGCAAUUGGUAGACCCUCACAUUCUUCAACUACUUGAAUGGCUAUGGGUCGCAGUUCAAGAUUCUCCUCCACGGAAUCACCUGCUGUCUUCUUAAAAAGACUCCAAGCUUCUUCUGGUGGUAAAUGUUCCACUGGAAAACAUAUUUGUGCGCCCAUGUUUUUGCAUAAUAGGUCUCCAUCUCUCGAAGCCAACACUAUUUUGCAUUGUGUUUCAUCACCUUUACACGGAAUUCCUACUUUCUCCAAAUCAACUUCCCUCCAAAUAUCAUCCAAGAUAAUAAGGAUCUUCCCUUCUACCAUCAGUUCCUCCUUCAGUUCAUUCGCUUUUUUGGAUUCAUCCUCCUCGCAAAGUGACAAGUCGAACGCGUUCUCAAUUUCUAGUUGAAGUUCCGCAAUUCCUUCUUGACGUUUAUCCGAGUCUCGAGUCCAGGAUACAUCCAUAUAGGCUUGUGUGGUGAACAACCGCUGUUGCUUAGCUUGUUGAGCCACUUGUUUCAACAGUGUUGUUUUGCCCACACCGGCCAUGCCCCAUACUCCAAUCAAGUUGAUAUUGUCGUCUCUUAAGGCAUCCAUAAUUUUGUUCAAAGUGGAGGCUCUUGAUUCAAGGAAUGAAGCCUGUAGCAAAAACACAAUAUAAGGCAUCAAUUGGAAAGUUGUGAUGAUAGGCAUAAACAUGUUUCUUAAAUAUAAUUCAAUUCAAUUCUGAAAUAGUCUUUCGCAUGUUCACUUCUGUUACAUUAGUGAAAGAAAAAGUAAUUAUCAUUCUAAACAAUUUCCCAAAAAACCAAGAACUAUUAUAAUAUUAAUAUCCUUCAAGAAAUACAAUUCAAAUGGGUUUACGAACAAAUAGUAAAUAAAGUAUAAAUAAUGAAAAAAAUUAAUAAAAAAAAUACAAAAUCACAAAACUUACAUCAUUGAUACAAGGAGAAAGCUUUUAACUUUUCUUUUUGAAAAAUGUCACGUUUAUUUUGAUAUUAACAACAAAAUAACACAUAAUUUUAAAAAAAUAAAAAAAGUAAAAGAGAAAAACUAUUCAUGUUAAAAAGGAUGUAUAUGUAUAUGUAUAAUUUUCAUGUAAAAAAUAAUAUUUAGGAUUGUAUUUUUAUAUUUUAAAAAAUAAAUUUUAUUAUUUUAAAAGAAUAAUAAUUACUGUCCUUAUAAGAAAUAAAGUAUGUCUUACUCUUUUGAUUUUUAAAAAUAAAAAAUUACAAAACAUUUCUUUUUGAAAGUUUUGUAAAAUAGAUGUUAACAACAAAAUACCACAUAAAUUUUUUUUUUUCCAAAGAAAAAAAUAGUAAAGGAGAAAAAAAAUCCAAAUUAAAAAAAAAUGUACAUGUGGUAUUUCCACAUACUAUAUACAUAUUGCUAUUUAUUAAUUUUAUAAUAUAUUUUCCACGUCUCCAUGCUCUCCUCUACUAUUCUCUAUAUGUAUUUUGCCAUAGAAUUUUUAAUUUUUUAAGAGGGAAAAUAUAUUCUGUUACUUCAUUUUGAAGAAUUGUUUUAUCUUAACGGAUUAUAUCCAUUAAUUGGAAAAUUGUAAUAGAAUAUUUUGGGGAAACUCCAGUAAAUCAAAGAUUUAAGAAAAAAAAUUAUUUUGUAAAAUUAAAGUACCAUGUAAAUAAAUAAAUUAUUAAUAAUUAAUUAACUUAUUGAUAUUAUUUAUAAUACCUUUAUAUAACAAAUGCAUAUAAUAAAAUUGAAUUAAACAUAUUAGAGCAUGAUAAAUUUAAACAAAAAAUAAAUUCAUUUUAUUCUAAAAAAAUCUUAUUAUCUUGAGACGGUAGGAAUGUACUUAAAAUAAAACAAAAUUAAAAUUUUAGAUCACAAUAAAAGAAAAAAAAAAACAGGAACACACACACACACACACACACACAUAUAUAUAUAUAUAUAUAUAUAUAUAUAUAUAUAUAUAUAUAUAUAUAUAUAUAUAUAUAUAUAUAUAUUUUAGUUUUUCCAUUUGUUAAAUAAAAAGUAAUUUUCAUUAUAAGCAAUUUCCCAAAAAACCAAACAACUAUUAUAAAAUUAAUAUUUUUCAAGAAAUAUAAUUUAAAUACGGCUUUAAACAAAACAUACAAAAUAAAAUAUAAAAUUACAAAACUUACAUAAUUGUUACAAAGAAAAAGUUUAUAACUUUGUUUUUCGAAAAAUAUUACAUUUAUUUUUAUGUUAACAACAAAAUAACACAAUAUUUUUUUUUUAAAAAAAAGAGUAAAGGAGAAAUGAGGUCUAAAUUAAAAAUGAUGUAUAUAUAUAAUUUAUAUGCAAUAAAUAAUAUCUAGGAUUGUAUUUUUAUUUUUUUUAAAUGUUAAAAUAAAGAUAAUAAAGGUAAUUUGAUUGUUACUUUAAAAGAAUGGUAGUUUAAUAUUUUAAAAAAGUGGUGUAAUGAAAAAUAAAAAAUAGGGGAGACAACUAACCUUUUCAUGGGAGAGCACUUCAUUAUUAGUAGAAGUAUUGACACCUCUCCAGUCUUCCAUCCCACAAUCAAUGAUAUGUAGCUCUAUGAGAUUGUGAAAAUUCUUAAACAUUGAAGGAGACAAAACACAUCUCUUGUUGAUAAUCUUAUCCUCAUUGCAUAUAAUAUGUCUUAAUUGAGGUAGUUUUUUUAACUCUAGGAUUUUUAACUUUGUGAGGAUCCCAAAAUCUAUCUCCUUCAAUUUUGGAAGACUUUUUAGAACUAUAGUCUCCAAAUUAGGAGGGAGUGAAACCUACACAAAAAACACAAUAUAACACAUAACACCAUCAAUUGUAAAGUUGUAAUAAACAUAAAAAUAUUAGGUCAAUAUUGAAAAAUAUAUUAUUUUAUCUUUAUUGAAUUAUAUCCAUCAAUUGGAAAAUUGCGAUAAAAUAUUUUGAAGAAAUUCUAGUAACUCAAGGAUUAAAAAUGGCCGAAGCAUAGAGAAUUUAUUGCGCGCAUAAUACCCUUAUAUUUUUUUAUUAGGUUUUUCCCUUAAAACUAAAAAAAGGGACUAUCAGAAUGAAAUUUACAAUGUUUCCUUUUUGUUAUGUUUUUUAUAUUAAUAUUUAAUGUUUUUUAAAUUAAAAAUUCCCUUUUAACUUUAUUCUUGUUUUCAACUCCUUUACAUUUUAUAUUUUAUUCACUAGUUAUUUUUUUAUUUUUUGAAACUAAAUAAUAAAAUUAUUAACUUUGAUGGUUAUUUUAAAUCAAAAUUAAUUAGUCUCCUUAUAUGAAAUAAAAUAUGUUUUAAUUAGUUUUCUUGUAUCAAAUGAAAUAUGUUUUACUCUUUUUUAUUUUCAUCUAACAUCUUAACCCAAUUUUCCCAAAAGUUAUUAAUUUCAACUAUUCUAAAAUUUAAUUAAAAUAUUAUUAUUUGAAUUAAAUUUUCACUAGUUCUCAUUUCUAAUUCAUUGCAAUAUUUCUUUCAAUUAGUACAUAUUUUUUUCCUUUCUAAAUUAAAGUAAUAACUACCAUUUUUCCUUAUUUUUAUAUUAUUUCUAUUAACAUUUAUCCUUUUUCAAUUAAUUUUUCACUUAAAAAUUUUAUUUUUUUUCAACUCAUUUGUAAUUUACUUAUUACUCACAAUUUUUAUUAUUUAAAAUUAAAUUUUAAAUUAAUUUAAUAAAUUUUUUAUUCAAGGUUAAGGUAUUCUUCUCAUAAUUUUUUUUUUAAAACAUAUAUUUUUAUAAUAUAUCUCCCUAAAUAUUUCAAGUAGUAUAAGAAAAAAACAAAAAAAAAAAUAUGGAAAAAAACUAACCUUCAACAAAAGACAUCCAUGUAGUUCCUCUAAUCUUAGAAUUUUUAACUUUGAGAAAUUCCCAACAUCUAUGUCUAUCAACUUGGGAAGACUUUUUAAAACCAAGACCUCCAAAUUAUGAGGGAAUGAAACCUACAUGAGAAACACAAUAUAUAAUACAUGAUAUCUUCAAUUGUAAAAAUGUGAUAAACACAAAAAUAAUAGGUCAAUAUAAUUCAUUCACUCUCAAAUUAAAAUUUAAAAUAAUUUAAUUAAUCUAUUAUUAAAUAUUAAUACCAAAUAUACAAAAUAUUAUUCUUUUUAUGGUAUUCUUCUUGAAAGCCAUACUUAUCAUUACUUAUGCUAUAUCAUUUACAAACCAUACUAAUUUGAUCAUAUAUAUCUAUAUUAUUGACAAACCACACUAAUUUAAUCAUAACAUUAAUUCAAUCAUAAGUAUCCUUAUAUAUUAUUUAUUAUUUUAUCCGUUUUAUCUAAAAUUUUCAUAUUUUUGUGUAUUUUUACCAAUAUUUUCAUAAAUAUGGAUAUUUUUAACAAUAUUUUAAUAAAAGAGAAUCACUAAGCUUUUUAUCUUUGUAAAAAAAAUUUAUUAUUUAGUUCAAUUAGAUUUAAAAAAAAAAUAAAGUUAAUUAUUAAGGAAAAGAGAUAGAAUAUUUCUUAUUAUGUUAUAAUAAAUAAUUGUAAAAAACAAAAUCAAAUAAAUAAACAAAAUGAAGAUUCAUUUUUGUCUUCAUUUUCCUAUCUUUCCUUAUUAAUCAUUUUCAAUUUAUUUAUAAAACUUAUAAAAUAUUACUACAAUUUUAAGAUUUUUUUAAUUCAAACUAGACUUUUUCCAAAUUUCAGUGUAUCUUCAAAUAAAAUAAUUUACUAAAUUCUCUUCUCAUCCUUAUGUUAUCUCCUUUUAACAAACUUAUAAGGUGCAAUUAGAAAGUGCAUGUGGACCUUACCCAGUUUUUCUUUUGAUUUAUUUAUUAAAAAAAAGUAAUAUGAAAAAAAAACUAUGGAAAUUAACUAUUAAUUAAACUUAAACAUACCUGAUAACUGAAAAAUGGCAAUUGGAUAUCAAGAUUGCCUUGGGAACACAUUCCUUGCGAUGUCGUUUCCAAAUUAGAGCCGAAGUAGUCAAAAUUCAUGAGCUCUGGUAGAUUCCUAAGUGCCAAAAAUCGUAAUUUAGGGAGCAGUUGCAAGUCGGUCCCAACAUGAUCAACUUCUUUUAUUUCGAACUCCCCUUCACAUGCGAUUAUUUGUUGCAUGGCAUUGCAAUCAUUUAUUGUCAUUUCUUCUAGUUGGGAAAGGCCUCUAGCUGUGGAAAGUAAGAAGAGAAAUUUCAAUCCAUGACAUUUCUCCACAUAUAAAGUUUUUAAGUUAUCCAAAGACCUUAGGGGAAUUGGGCCACGACAUGCUUCUUCCAAAUUACUCAACUGUAGUUCUUCAGUUUUCUUCAACAACUUUCCAAUUCCAUCCCUCGAAAGUAAGCUUCUAUCAACCCGUUCCAGCUCUAAUGUUUUUGAUGUUUUAUAGGAGUUUUUCCACUUAUCAAUACUGCCUACAGAUAUUGCAUAUCUUGUUAAGUUCUCAAAGAACAUGUCUUCUUUUGGUAGCAACUCGACAGCUGGUACUUCUAUCUCUAUAGUUGUCAAAUGGCGCAAAUGAUUCAGCUCCGAUAAACAAACAUUGCUUUCUCCAUCACUAACUCCUUCAGCUGCCCAUUGAGUAAAGCUGAAUUUCAUGCACAAACAUUCUAAUCGAGACAGGCUUGAUAAGAUAUUUCGUGGAAUUACUUCAAGCUGCUUACAAUCAUUCAAAUCCAACAACCUUAGAUUCGUCAACUGCCCCAUUUCACUAGGAAGUUGUUGGAUAUGGGAACCCACCAUGCUAAGAACUUGUAGUUUCUUUAGCUCUCCAAUUAGAGCUAUGUCUCCCAACUUGCACCUGUCUAGACGUAAUGUUCGAAGAUUUGGAAGGGAAUGAAGCGUUGAAGGUAGUGUUGUGAAAUGCAUUUUAGACAAGGCUAAAACUUUGAGUAGGUUCAUCCCUUCAAAAAAUGUGUUUGGGAUUUUCAAGGAAGGACUGUUGUUCUGCAACAGAAAAAAUUGAAGUUUCGGACAUACCAACCGGUGAGGAAGCUCAUGCACAUCAUUGCAACUUAAAGAGAUGUAUUUGGAUUCAUCAGUCUCUGGCCAUUCUUCCAAUGGAACAUCUUGUCUAACUACAAAUGGAUGAGGAUCCUUGGAUGCAAUAUUUCUGGCAACAUCACGAACAACAUCAUGCAUCCUGACAGACUUGUUAUCAGCAUCCAUGAAAAGCAACCUUGAGGCUUCACCUCCAAAAUGGUAUCUAUGAUCUUCACCGUCCAGUAACAAGCUUGAGGCUUUGAGGGUUCUCACCAAUGCAACUAGUUUAUUUCUUGCUUGCUCCAAUGACUUGAGGUGGUCAAACAAAUCCAAACCCAUAGCAUACUGUAACAAUUGAUGCAUUGAAAUAUCGGCAUAGCUCAACCAACCACAAAGUAAGAACAAUGACUUGACUUCAUCACCCUUCAAAUGGUUGUAACUCCACUCCAGACAUGUGUAUACCUUUUCCUCCACUCCUCUGAUGUUUGUUGGCGCAGAACUCCUCAGUUCGUCCAAGGCAUUCUUCCAUACAGCUACGCUUUCAUCUUUUAAUGCCUUUGCAAUUGUUACAAUUGCAAUUGGUAGACCCCCACAUUCGUUAACUACCUCAAUUGCUAUGGGUCGCAGUUGGUCCCCCUCCACGGAAUCACCUGCUGUCUUCUUAAAUAAAUGCCAAGCUUCUUCUUCUGGUAAAUGUUGAAGUGGAAAACAUUCUUUUGCGCCCAUGUCUUUGUGUAAUAGGUCUUCAUUUCUAGAUGCCAUCACUAUUUUGCAUCCUUUCUGGUCAUCUUUAGAAGGAAUUCCAACUUCCUCCAAACUAACUUCCUUCCAAAUGUCAUCUAAGAUGAUAAGGAUCUUCUCUUUCUGCAGUCUCUGCUUUAGUUCAGCUGCUCUUGUGGAUUCAUCCUUCCCCUUAAAUUCCAAGCCUAACAUGUCUGCAAUUUUUUGUUGAAUAUCCGAAAUUCCUUGUUGAAUUUUUUCUGGUUCUCGAGUCCAAGAUACCUGUAUAUAGACUUCUGUGGUGAACAGCUUCUCUUGCUUAGCUUGUUCAGCUAAUUGUUUCACCAGUGUGGUUUUGCCCACGCCGCCCAUCCCCCAUACCCCAAUCAUCUUCAUCUUAUCAUCUCUUAAUGCAUCCAUAAUUUUGUUCAAAGUCGAGGCUCUUGACUCAAAAGAUUCAUAUUCUUUAAACGUUACACACCGUGGAGGGACACGAUAUGAUACGCCAUCGGGGAAAUUGCGGUUUUCUUGGACUUCAACAAUAACCUGCGCCUUCUUGUCCGCUUCCCUGCUUAGCAGGUACCGUGACUUGAGAUUAGGACACCACCCAUUGAAACAGCUCUUAUUUUCAUCCUUCUUCAAUUCCUCUGCCUCCCCUGUAAUCUCAUCUACCCGAUUGAGCCACUCCUGAACAAUAGGUCUGAUUUGGUCCCCUCGUCUCGUAGCUUCAUCAACAGUUACUAGCACGUCAUCCCUCGCCUUCCCCAGCUUCUGAACUUUGUUGUGGAGUUCAUCAGUAUAGCUCCGAUAGCAAAACAGAUAACUAAGCUGGCGUCCAAUUGGAGCAACCAAGUACUCUGAAACUUUUGCAGCAACGGCAAUAAUGAUCUCUGUCAUUUCGUCUCAGUUGGAUUUGUUUUUUCUUUUUUGUGUGGUGGUUUUGUUGGGAAAACAGAAGGGAAAUGAUGAGAAAACAGAAACAAAUGAAAGCAGGAACAAGAGGAAACUAAAAUAAGAGAGUGGAAGAAAUGGAAGGAGCAGAGUAUUUGUUCCAAGCAGAGAGACGGUCACCACCAAAAUGAAAAGCAGAAUCAGUAGCGAAUAUGAGUGAAGAGAUGGAGAAAGCUCAAGGAAUGCAUGCAAUUUGAUUCAAUGUGACAAAACGAGAACAAAGUCGGUGUUUUGCAAGCAGAUCCUGAUGUGAGGCCGAAUGUGAAGAGUAGAUUACCAAGCUAUGAACACAGAUGUUGGUUUUUUUUUUUUUUUUUUUUGGUGGGGGGGGGGGGGGGAGGGGGGUUUGGUUAUGUUGGAAAACAGAUGGGAACAGAGAAAAUAAGGGGAAAUUAAGAAGAGGGUGGAGCAAAUGAAAAUAAACAAGGAAAUGAAAGGAGCAGAGUUUGGGUGAAGGAAUCAGAGGUGAAUGAGAGCCAAGUUAGGAAUGGAUGAUAGAAUGGGAAAGAGGUAAUGGCUCAAACCCAAUUGGAGUUCAAGUAAUUUGAUUCAAGGAAAGAGAUCUCUGGUGUAAGGCCAAAAGGGCAUGAAAGAAUCAUUAUUGUGGGACCUUAUCUUUAUCUACCUUAAUUUAGUGAUGUUUUGGAGCUGCCUCCAAACAAAAGCAACCCUGCCAUCUACUUUCGGUGCUUUUGAUGCUUCAUUGAUGGAUGAUUUCAAGAUUACUUUAAAUGGUGUAAUCUCUUUUUAAUUUGUUCUUUUUCUUUUUUUAAUUUUAAUAUUUUUCUGUAUAAAAAAAAGGGGGAGGGGAAAGAAUUUUAAUUCAUUGGUAAGAGUUAUGUGAUAACAUACGUAGGGGUCCCGAGCAAAAGAAUUUUAUUUGUGGGAAUCUUUUGAUAACGAAGCAAAUUCAAUUGUGGAAAUUGAUGGAAAAGAUUUAUAAAUUUAAAGUAUGUUUGACAUGUGAUUUAAAAACAGUUUUUUGUUUUUAAAAAUAAAAAAUUGUUUUUAAAAAUUUUUUAAUACUAUUUGGCCACUAUUCUUUGAAAAAAAUUUUUAAAAACAAAAUAAAAUAGAAAAUAAUUCUUAAAGAACAAAUAAGAGUUAUUUUUGUCAGUUUUUAAAAACAAAAGAAAAACAUGGUCAAACAGACCCUUAUAUUUUCACUAAUCUUACAUUAUAUUUCUCGAAAUAUACGUGUAGAAAUUAUAUUUUGUUCACAAUCAUACAUCUCUUGAUUCAAUAAAAUAAAUUUGAUUCUAAAGUUACAUAUAUAUAUAUAUAUAUAUAUAUAGAAGCUAUAUUUGGUUUACAUCACAAAAAACUUGACUUAAAUAAUGAUGGUAAAGAAACAAGUUUUUUCAAGUACGACUCUAAAACACAUGGGUUUUGAUAGAAGUAUAAAUGAGAUAAUGACAAGUUUAGUAUUUUAUUUUAUUUUAAAGUUUGGAGCAAAUUCGAAAAUGAUCUUGUCUCAUCCUAUUUGAUUAUAUAUAAUAAAUAAAAGUCAAAUUAACUUUUUUUUGUUUUCCCUUUUUUCUAACCUAUAUAAAAUUUUAAAAUCAAUUAUUUCUUUUCUAACCUAUAUAAAAUUUUAAAAUCAAUUAUUUCUCAUAAAAAUAAAUUAUAAAAAACAAAAUAUUGAUUUAUUUAUAAAAUGUAUUUAUUUUUAAUCCAAAUAAAUUUAUUCUAGAAAAAAAUAAUUUACAAAAUUACAUUGGGUGGGUAGGGGGAUUUCUCCUACCUUUCCUAACCUGCCCAUUUAGUCAAAUUUCUUAUAUAUAUUGGAAUGGGGUUGAGAUAGGGAUUACCCGUGUAUUCGAAUGAGGUUGACAAUCAUGAAAAGAAAAGAAAAAACAAAAAAUCUCAUAUAUUAUUCAAAACUUGCAUGUCUACAUAUUUUCUUCAAAUGAUAUAAAACUUUAUUCAAUAAAAUGCUUUAUUCCAACUGUCAUAUAUAAAAAUUAAAGUAGGUUUGCAAUUCCAAGAACUUUAUUCCAAAAAAGAAAAAAAAAUCCUUUAUAUUAUUCCAAACUUACAUGUCUAAAAGAACUUUAUUGGAAACUUAAAUGUGUAAAAUAUAUUCUUAGUUUACGUGACAAAGAAGUUGAUUGAAAGAAAUAGAAAUAGAGAAAAAGAAAACCAAAAUAUGUCUCCAACUUGAAGCGUCUGUGAAGAUGCCAUGUAAAAGAAUAACUUUCAUGGGAAUGGCUUCAGCUCAAGUAUAAUGGAAAAGAAAAGAUAUAGCUUUCAUGUUAGGGGUGACUUUGCCUUGAUAUGCUUUGCUUUGGAAUUUGGAUGAUCUUUUGCCUAUUUGUUUCCUCAAAAAUUUAAGGAAAAAUGCAAGAAAAAAUAAUAGAGCAGGAAAAUAGAAAGAAAAAAAAAUAAAAAAAAUAAAAUUCAAAUUAUUUUUAUAUGUUACUUCAACUUCAUUUAAUUUAUUUUAACUUUUUAAUAUAAAAAUUAAAUAAUUUAAAAAUACAUAAGUUUUUAAUUAAUUUUAAUUAUAUUUAAUUUUCUUUAACAUUUUUCAUACGAUAAAAAAGAUAAAAAAAAUCAUUUUUUUUUACAUUUUCUUCUUUUCUUAAUGCUUUUUAAUGAACCAAACAUAACCUUUAUAUAUUGAGUUUAACAAUAUUGAAUAAAAAUGGUACCAAGAAACCAAUUAAGUGUAAUGAGGUUUAAACCUUUUACAUAUGAACUCGAUCUACCUUUUGUUUUUGUUGAUGUGAUAUUUUUUAUGUUAAUAGUUAAAGAAGCAGAAGAGGAUUUAGCAUUUUAGAAAAGGUAAUAAAAUAGAUGAUUAAAACUAUCAAUUAUAUUUAAUCAUAUUAAUGGCACUGGCAAAGGCAGAAAUAAUGGGCAGGGGGCAAAACCAAAAAAAAAAAUUGUUUGAAGGGAGGUGAUGGUCUUCAAGAUGCAAAAUUGGCUCCUUGGUUAAGCCUUUUUUACCUUUAAAUUUGGCAUAGAAAUUUGGUUUUUCGGGAUGGGGGUAGAUGAACUUUAGUGGCUUUUAGUGGCUUAAUGAACUUUUAUUUUUUUUUCAUUUUCCCUUUUUUCUAACCCCAUAUAAAAUUUUACAAAUAAUUACUUCUCAUAAAAAUAAAUUAUAAAAAAUAGAAUAUUGAAUUAUUUAUAAAUUGUAUUCAUUUUAACUCAAUUAAAUUUUUUCUAAAAAAUAAAAUAAUAAUUAAAAAUUACAUUGGGCUGGUAAGAGAAUUUCUCCUACCUACCCUAACCCGUCUAUUCCGUUAAAUUUCUUAUAUAUAUUGGAAUGGAGUUAAGAUAGGGAUGUUCCAUAUAUUGGAAUAAGGUUAAGAUAAUUGGAACACAUGAGGUUGAGAUAAAGAUGACCCAUUUGCUGUUAUACCUGGACUUAGACAAAAGAAAAGUAACUGCUCAUAUAUUAUUCAAAACUUGCUUGUCUAUGCGUUUUUUUCAAAUCAUAUAAAACUUUAUUCAAUGAAAUGCUUUAUUCCAACUGCAAUAUAUAAAAAUUAAAGUAGGUUUGCAAUUCCAAGAACUUGAUUCCAAAAAGCAAAAAAAAAAAAUCCUUUAUAUUAUUCCAAACUUACAUGUCUAAAAGAACUUUAUUGGAAACUUAAAUUUAUAAAAUGCAUUAUUAGUUUAUGUGACAAAAAAAGCUGAUUGAAAGAAAAAGAAAAAAAAAAAGAAAAAAAGAAAACCAGAAUAUUACUCCAACUUGAGCCAUUUGUGAAGAUGCCAUGUCAAAGAAUAACUUUGAUGGGCAUGACUUUAGCUUAAGGAUAAUGGAAAAGAAAAGAUAUGGCUUGCAUGUCAGGGAUGACUUUAAUUUGAUGUGCUUUGCUUUGGAAUUUGGAUAAUAUUUUGCCUAUGUUUUUUUCCUUGAAAAUUCAUGGGAAAAUGCAAGGAAAAGAUAAUAAAGAGGGCAAAUAGAAGAAAAGAAAAUAAAAAAUAUUUAAAAUGAUUAAUAAAUUAUUUUUAUGUGUUACUUCAAAUUCAUUUUACUUAUUUUAACUCUUCAUAAGUUUUUAAUUAAUUUUAAUUAUAUUUGAUUUUUUUUUACAUUUUUCAUAGGAUAAAUGAAUAUGAAAAAAUCAUUUUUCUUAAUAAUAUUUUUUUUUUCUUAAUACUUUUCAUAAACCAAACAUAAUCUUUAUUUAUUAAGUUUAACAAUGCAUAAUAAAAAUGGUACCAAGUAAUGAAAUCAAUAAAGUGUAAUGAGGUUUAAACCUUUUACACAUGAAAUCGAUCUAACUUUUGUUUUUGUUUUUGUUGAUGUGAUAUUUUCAUGUUAAUAGUUAUAGAAGUAGAAGAGAAUUUAGCAUUCGGUGGGGUGGGUGGGGGAAUGUGUCUUCAAAAUGCAAAUUAGCUCCAUGGUUAUGCCUUUUUACCUUUAAAUUUGGAAAUUUAGUUGAAUAUAAACAAUCAUGAUUCAUCAUACAUUGGAUGAAUCAACCCAAAGCACAAAUCAAAGAUCAAGAGUAAAGUCAUGUAUAAGCAAAAAUAGAUAUAUCAUAAAUGUAUAGGCAAAAAAAAAAAAAAAACCCAAAUAAAAUAUUUAAAGUGAUAUAAUGAAGUAAAGAAAUACAUACAUGAAAUGUGCAACAUGCCCUCAACAUAAAUCAAGAUUAAAAGAACUCACAAUUAUAUAUAAAAAGAUGAAUUAUCAAGAAUAGGUAAAACACUCAACAACAUGGCAAAAAUGAAGUAUUCAUAACAUAAAUCAUAAUAAAAUAUUUAAACAUGGUAUUUUAUCAAAAUAAAAUUUGAGCAUCAUCCUCAAUGUGUCUAAAAGGUAACCCAAGUGUUAAAAUAAAUUAAUCAACCCUCAGUUAAUCCAGAUUAAAUCAAAUUUAUCAACGCUCUACAAAACAUUCAGUAUUGGUCAAAACAGGAACACUUACAAAAUAAAUCCUAAAAAAAUAUUUAGAAAUAGAAUUUUAUCAUGAAAAAAAUUGGACAACAUAUUUAACAUGUCUAGAUUACAAUGCAAAAUUAUUUAAUCACAUGUCAAUCAAUACCAGAUUUCGUUGCAUUAGGGACACUACAUAGAACCAUUAACAUUCAAUAAGAACAGAGGAACUUGCAAAAUAAGUCCCAAAAGAAGAUACUUAGAUAUGGAAUUUUGUCAUGAAAAAAAAUAGACAACAUCUUUAAUAUGUUUAAAUUACGACUCAAAAUGCCAAAUUAUUAAAUUAUAUCUCAUUCAAUACCAGAUUUCAUCACAAGCACAUUGGUCAGAAACAAAGCAAAUUUCAAUAGCAUUUCAAAACAAAUUUAUUUAACUAACCUACAAGCAUGGUAAAAUCAAAAGAAAAAACUUUACAAUAUAUUCAACAUGAUUAUUUUAUAAGAAAGUCUUAAUUGAAGGAAUGACUUAUCUUAGUCAUAAAAACAGGUUUCCCAUUGUGAGUGCACUAGUGUAUACGGUUACACAUUGACAGAACCUGUAGUGAAUCAUGAGAUUAAUUAUUGAAUAGUGUAUAUGGUUGCAUGAGCUCUCAACCUUAAGAGAAUAUUAAGCUACUAUUAAGGUCUUCAAUGACUUUGAUAUACAAGUAAGAUUGUAAAGUAAUCAUAUAAUCCCUAUUAAUUAAGUCAUUAUUGAUUAAGGCAAGUGGCAAUAGGUAUUUUUGAAAUAAAUAUCAUGAUAUCUCAUGAGAUUGACACAAUAUAUCUACUUACAUGAUCCUAAGGACUUGUGAUUGUAAAAUUUGUAGCAUCACAGUAGUUCUUUUAGUAGAAUUUGACAUAUGCUCUUAGUAAGCUGAAGUAUGUUAAUUGGUCACAUAAUAAGAAGAUAUCAAACUCAAAAAUGAUAGAUGUAAUUUUAAGAGGUUGAUGGCUUUCAUCUUGUUAGAUUAUAGACAUUAGUUCACAAGGAGCUUACAUGUAGCAAUUAGUAGGUCAUAGACCUAAGAAAUUGAUUAAAGUACAUUUAGUCAACUUAUUUCUUAAUUUAAUUUCAUAGGAUGUUGGAAUACAAUUGACUUUUUGUAAUGGAAUGUUGAGCCAACUUCAAAAUUGGAUUCCAAGAGAGCUAAUAUUUUUCUACGGUCCUAGUAGUCCCUGCUCAAACUCAUGCUCCUUGAUGGUAUGUUGUUUUGAGGGAUAUUUGAGAUUUUACUUAUAUGUAUGUAUAAAGGUGUUUUCAUAAAAGUACAAAAAUUGCACAAGAAUUUAUGAAUUAUUUUUUUAGAUUUGGCUAAUUAAUUAAUUAGAACCUAAGAAGGUUAAUUAAUUUAUUAAGACCUAGUGGAUAAGAUAAAGUAACUCAAGUCUAAGAUGGAUUCAAGUUACUUAAGCUCACAAGGACUAUAUGAACCCUUUUAGGGUUCAAGAUUAGAGACUUUAAUUUAUUAUUGUCUUCCAAAGAGAGAAAGAAAACUCUAACCUUCAUCCCCUAAAGAGAAUUUUUCCCUUCUUUGUUGCCAAGAUUUAUAACAGAGCUAUUGGAUAUAAGAUAUCUAGGCCUUUGAGAUUGUUCUUCAUCAAUGGAAAAAAAAAAUUGGGAAUAUCCAAAUUUGAAGUAUCAUUGUUUACUUGUUUCUCACACUUGAAUAAAGUUUUUAAAAUGCAUAUUAGUUUUUGUUGCACUUAGAAUCUUAAAUGCACGCACCAUUUAACCCGCUAUCUAAUUUAUUAUUGUCUUCUAUAGAGAGAGAAAGAAAACUCCAACCUCCAUCCCUUUAAAGAGAAGUUUUUCCUUCUCCAUUACCAAGAUCCAUGGAAGAGCUAUUGUAUAAAAGAUUUAUAAAUAAGUAACCUAACCCUCGAUGUCGAUCCUGUUUUUCACAGACCACCUUUUCCAAAACAAGGAGUCACACUUAGGGUUUUUCUUCUUAUUUUGUUUACCUUUUUUAAAAUAAAACAAAAAUAAGUAGCGACUCCAAGUCAUUUUCUAAUAAAUAAAAUCAUUUUCAAAAUAAAAAUUGAGCUCGUCAUCGAGUGGAAGCGCAUGAGCCGAAAUGCGGGGUCCACACUGUAUUUUAAAAUAAAUUUAAUUUCUACAUAAAUCAAUUAAAAAUAUAUUUUGAUAUAAUACAAUUUUCAUCAAUCAAUUAAAGAAUUUUUUUAUUUAGAAUUUUAAUUUUAUUAUAUGAAGGAAAUAAAAAUUUUGAUUUGACAGAACACAGAAGACAAACUAUACAAUAAAAUUAUUUAAUAAUAAAAUAUUUAUUUUAUAAAAAAAAAAAUUAAUAUAAAAUAAUAAAAUUAUAAUUUUUUUAUUAGUAUACACCAAAUAAAAGAGGUUUAUGGUGAAAUUUCAAAUAUAUAGGAUUUAGAUGUAUUCAGUCAAAACCUUAUGGGAGGCAAAUGAAAUUAACUCUUACAUAAUAUAUGAAAAUUCCAUUAGAUGAACCACAUUGGUAUUAUAAUUUAUCAUACUUUCAUUGAUUUUAUUUUCAUAAUUGUGAUUAAUUUGCAAUAAAUUUAUGGGGAAAACAAGAAAGCCUUCAAUUCCAUUCUCCAAAAGGGAAAACACUAAACAAAAGGCCAAAAGUUACAUUCACUUUACCAACACAAACCAACCAAGAAAGAUAGAAGAAAUGAACUUGCAACAUGACAACCACAAACCAAGUGUAUUGUUCUCAUUUAUUCUAUUCAAAGCAUCAUGUACACAAACAUCCCCUUCCAAAUGGGCUCAUUAAAAUGGAGGAGGCCCACCAUGUGGCCCACCAGGAGGCCCACCAAAGAUAGGCCCACAGCAGCUCUCUAGGAUGCAGCAACAGCACAGGAAAUAGAAACUGCCAAAUAAAAAUCGUGUCAUAAAUUAAUAAUAACAUGACUGAUCAUUUUUGUUACUGAUAACCCUUCUUUCCUAAGGCAUUGUUUGGUUAGAAUCCCAAAAGCACUUUUUCUCCUUUUUUAGUUUCAAAAAUUAUUUUCAUGUUAAAUGUGAACCCAAACAUUACCCAAAUGAUUCUGGGUUUUGAAGAUAGCUAUAAAACUCAUAGAUCUACCCAAAAAUGAACGAUGGGGAAUUAAUAAAGAAAAAAAAUUAAAAUUAAAUAAAAUGAAAAAAGUCUCCAAAAGAACUCACCAUGUAGACACGGCCCUGCAAAUACCACCGCAAAGAAAAGCAAAGCAGCCACAAGGGCCUCCAGGCCCUCCUGGUCCCGGGGGUCCCCAACCUGGAGGAGGCAUCUUUUUCUCUCACUUUCUCGAGAAAAUGCAAAGCAGGGAGAUGAACUUAGCGUGGUAGAACAACACCAAUGGUAUUCUAUAUAUAUAUAUAGAAUUUUGGAGCGAUGACUAAAGAGAAGAAAACUUAACGAUGGAGUAUUCUUGAAUCUUGAUCUUUCUAGGCCAGUAUUUGACCGGUAAGUAAAGGUGGAGAAACAGUUGGUUGGGAUAAGGAUGACUGGAGGGGGCAGCUGCCUUUCUUCGGCCUACCUUUCAAAGCCACUAGUUGUUUUCAAUUUUGAAAGCUCCAUGUGACUUUCCUUUUAGUUUUUCUCUCUCUCCUCCUCUUCUUUUCUCACUGAGUCCACCAGUAGGGAAUCGACGCCUGGUUUCAAUUUCAAUCCCAUAGAAGAACAAAAGAAAACGUGAAAUAUGGUUUAGAAUUGGAUCUUUGUCUGAAGAGAAAAUUGGAUUUCACAGCUCCCAAUAGAUUGUUUUGCUAAAAUAAAAUGGCUAAAAAUAUGCACUGUUUUUUAAAGCAUUUUUAUAGUCCGUUUACAAAUCAAUUAGAAAAUAAGGGCACGUCUGGUAAUUGUUAUGUUCUCACGUUUGACAAUCAAAAACACCCUUUUUUUUUUUUUGUUAUUAAAAACAAUACAAAAAUGUUUCAAAUAAUAUUUUUUUAAUAAUUUUUAAAUUUUUUUAGAGUUAUUUUAAAAAAUAAUUAUACAAAAAUGUAGAAUAAUUAAAAAUAAAAUACUAUAUAUAAAAAUUAUUUUUAAAACAAAUUUUAAAAAUAUUAAAAACGAAAUUAAAAUCAUUUUAAGUUUCCAAAUAAACUUUUGUUUUACAAAACACUAUAUUAAGAAUUGCUCUCAAAAAUUGUUUUUAAAAGUAUGUCCUAAGUAAACUUUUCAAAAUAUAAAAUCAAUUGAUGUGAUUAUUAAACUAAAAUCAUCAAUAUAUCUUUUAAAAAUUACUUCAUUGUUAGGCAAAACAUCAAAAAAUAAUAAUAAUUUUUGUAUCUAAAUGCUAACUAAUUCUUCAUAAGAAUAUUAUUGAUAAUUUUUUAAUAAUAUUAAAAAUAUUUUUAUCAAAAUUGCUUCCAAUAUUGCUAUGUUUUUAUCACAAAAAUCAAUAAAAUUUAGGGUUAUUUAAUUAAAAGUCAUUAAAAACCUAAUUUUGAUAAUUUAACUUUUCAUCAUUUUUUUGCUAUAUUUUGAUAAAAAUAUCCUCAUUCUUUUCUUUUAAAAAUAACUUUUUUGUUUAAAACCUACAUAUAAAUACUUCAAAUAGUCGAGAGCAUUUAUGUCAAAAAUUAGUUACUCUUCAGUAAGAACAUGGAAGAGGUUUAAUUUAUAAAUAUGAAGAUUAUUUCAUCUUUUUUAACUAAUUAAUCCUAAAAUUUGUUUCAACAACAUACCCAUUUAUGUUUUAUGAUUAAUUUCCCUUAUUAAUUAAUCCAAUAAUACAAAUUAAAUAGAAAAAAAUUGAAAAUCCAAAACUACUUGUAAAAAUAUUAGGUGGCAUUAAGUGAAAAAUGGAUGAGAUUUGGUAUAGAUUUGGAUUUCUUGUCUCUUUUAGCAAAACAAAAACAAAAGGAAAAAAAAUCACAAAAUUAAAGUCAAAUGAUGACAAUUAUAAAUCUCAAUUAUUUAAUACAAAAGCAAGCAUCUUGAUAGUGACAGCCAAAUUAAAAUCAAAUUAAUCUCUAACCCUUAAAGAAUGACUCCACCAUGACUCCAAACUUUGAAGGAAAUAAUUUAUAUAAAGCUACAAGCCAUUAAUAAAAACAAGGCCCAUUGGAAUGGGGGCAAGUGGGGGUGACAAAUGGAUUAAAAAAUGUUGGUGACUUGCAAUUGGAAAUCUUUGCCAUCAAUGGGCCAGCUAGUCUUUUUGCCUUGGCACUUUUGUUAACAGGGUGGCUUCAAUUAUGUCACAAUUCUUAAAUAUUUGAUAAGGGUAACAAUAAUUGGAAGAGAAUGCAUGUGAUACCCCCUUGUAUUUCAGUGUCAGAGCAUGGCCAUGUGUCUAGUUAAUAAGCAUUAUUGUUGGACAAGUGUCAUCUGCUCAUGGUGACUUAUAAUGACUUGGUUGGUGCAAAUUCAUUAUCACCCAACUACCACCUACUCUAAAUAUUUUCUUAAUCUAUUUUCAAAAAUGAAGAAAAUUUAAAAGAAAAUUAUUUUUAAAUUUUUUUUUGAAAAAAAUAAUCUCUCUUGCAAGCACAAUGUUAUAAUAUGCUAUCUAUAAUAACUCACCCUUUUUUCAUAGAGAUUUUAUCCACUCUACAUCUAUUAAAAGGUAAAUAAAUUUCUAAUUUUACCUCAAACACAAAGCAAAAAACAUACUUUAAUAGAAUUCUUUAGAAAAAAAAUAAAUAAAUAACUCCAAAUGGGCAAAUAUGGAUUAAGUAUCCCCUGCUUCAACUAUUACAUAUACUUCAAAUACAUAAACUAGUCUAACUAUCCAUAGUUUUAUCAUAUAUGACAUCUAAUUUCAAAAUAAUUGGAAUACAUAAUCAUUAUUGGAGAUGCUUUAACGUAUUUGCUCUUUAUAUCUCUUGCUUGGAGGUGUCCCCUACAUAGUCUUCAUCCUCUCCCCUUUGCAGGCCUUUUACUUUCUUUUUCCUUUUCUAGGUAUGCUCAAUAUUAUCUCAUCUUUUCUCUUUAUUGGGGUCUAAGCCUUGUGGAUGAGUGAGGUAUUUCAAUUGCUUGUGAUAGAGGUACCUGCUUUUGCCUCAAGUAGGGGUCAUCUACCACUACCUACCCCAAGUCUAUUUACCUCCCAUUAUAAUCUAUGUGGAAGUAAAGAAUCAAAUAAAAAUCUCAAUAAUAUAAUUAAAGGUUACUCUAUCGAUCUUAGGGAAAUCAAAAUAGAAAAGAAUUCAUCUUAGAGUAAAAUCAAUAUUCAUACUUAUACUAAACUCAAUUGUCUUGUAACUUUCAAAUCAAUUCUCCCUCUAAACAAAAUUUUAAGAGGUAAUUAUAUUAUAUUCUAUAUAUAUAUAUAUAUGUAUGUAUGUAUGUAUGUAUUGGCUCAAGUCUUGUGGAUGAGUGAGGCAUUUAAGUUGCUUGUGAUAGAGGUGCUUGCUUUUGCCUCAAGUGAGGUCAUCUUUCUCUAUCAACCCCAAGUCUAUUUACCUCCAAUUAUAAUCUCUACGGAAGUAAAGAAUCAAUAACAAUCUUGACAAUAAAAUUAAAGGUUACUCUAUCGACUUUAAGGAAGUCAAAAUAGAAAAGAAUUCAUCUUAGAGUAAGAUCAAUGUUCAUACUUAUACUAGACUCAACUAUCUUAUAACAUUCAAAUCAAUUCUCCCUCUAAACAAAAUUUUAAGAAGUAAUUAUGUUUUAUAUAUAUAUAUAUAUAUAUAUAUAUAUAUAUAUAUAUAUAUAUAUAUAUUGGCUCAAGUCUUGUGGGUGAGUGAAUGAGUUGUGAUAGAGGUACUUGCUUUUGCCUCAAGUGGGGUCAUCUACCUCUCUACCUACCCUGAGUCUAUUUACCUCCAAUUAUAAUCUUUACGGAAGUAAAGAAUCAAUAACAAUCUCGACAAUAAAAUUAAAAGGUUAUUCUAUCGACUUUGGGGAAGUCAAAAUAUAAAAUAAUUUAUCUUAGAAUAAGAUCAAUGUUCAUACUUAUACUAGACUCAACUGUCUUACAAUGUUUAAAUCGAUUCUCCCUCUAAACAAAAUUUAAAAAAUAAUUAUAUUAUAUAUAUUAAAGGGGCAAUCAACUUCUAAUUUUUAUAGUUAUAAAUAAAUAUAAUUUGCCUCAAGUCUUGUGGAUGAGUGAGGCAUUUCAACUACUUACGUUAGGGUACUUACUUUUGCCUCAAGUAGGGGUCAUCUACCUCUACCUACCCCUAGUCGGUAUACCUCUAAUUAUAAUCUCUAUGGAAGUAAAGAAUCAAUAAAAAUCUCGACAAUAUAAUUAAAGGCUACUCUAUCAACGUUGAGGAAGUCAAAAUAGAAAAAAAUUCAUCUUAGAGCAAAAUCAAUGUUCAUACUUAUACUAGACUCAAUUGUCAAAGGGUAGUUAACUUCUAAUUUUUAUGGUUAAAAAUAAAUACAAAAUUAUAUUUAAAAGAAUCUUAUAAGUAUUGAAAAGUAGAAAAUAAAGAAAUAACAAUUUGGUAUGAAAUACUCUUUUUUUUAAAUGUGUAUGCAAAUGGUAGUAAAGUGUUUUUAGAAGACCAAAAUUUUACUUUUUCUUUUCAAAAGAUGAUUUCAUGGUAUACGAAUUAAUAAUAUACUACCACAUUUACACGUAAUAGAAUUAUGAGAGAAUGUGAUAAUAGUCUUGUUUCGUGAUUCACCUUCAUUUCAAUCUAAUCGAAAUUGGUAUAAUUUAAGAUGAGUCCACCUUGACAAAUUUUUAACUCUAAUUAUCAAACCAAUAUUCUUAAAUUAUGUCAUGUAUUUAAUAAGAGGUCAAACCAAGCCUACUACCAAAGACACCUUGACUAUAUUCUCAACUCUAGCAAAUAUAAAACAUUUAAGUGUUAUGUCAAAAGAUCUGUAGGGGUAGGUGACAUUUGGUAUGAUGAUAAAAUCAAUUGAACGACCACCUCUAGAAACAUGGAAAUAUCCUCUUAAUGAUAUCAUUAAUUGUAUGAAUUAUAAUCUCAUCAUGCAUAAUUAUAAAUAAGCUAUAAAUUCAAUAUUAGCACUAAAUGAAUUCAUUAAAAAUAUAACGAGUGUCAACUUAAUAACUUAAAGUGACUUAAAAACUUAAUUUAAGACAUUCAGUAAAUUAAGUAUAUUUGAUAAAAUAAUUUAAUGGUAUGAUUUAAAGUCAAAAAUAAUUUUAAAUAAUAAGUAAAAAUAAUUAAUUUAUUCUUAAAUCCAUAUAUUCAUUUUUAUCUUUUUAUCCUCAUUUAUCAUAAUUACCUCCACAAUCUUUUCUGCUAUUCCACGACUUUUAUUGUUACUCGAUCUCAUUUAUUCUAAUUAUGAUUUAUGAGGAUAAAUAUGUUAAUUUAAUGAUUUAAAAUUAAUUUUAUUAAAUGACCUUAAAAUUUAAAAGUAAAAAUUAACUAAUAAAUUUUAAAUCAAUAACUUAAAUAUAAUUCAACUUAAAGUCAACUUAAAUUAUUAAAUAAUAAAUAUUAAAUUUACUAAACAUCCUCUAUAUUUAUAACUUUUUCUUUCGUGUAUAGGUAUAUAAUUUUUUUUCUUCUAUAGCGAGGAAGAAACAUUAUAUUUUAUAUUGAUUGGAAAAUGAUAUUUUGAAUUGAUGACUCGUAAUUAAUUUGUACACAAUUAAUUCUACGAUGAUGAUAACAUCCAUUUGACUCUAAUUCUUACAUAUCCAAAAGUAGGGUAAUGUGAUAAUAUAAAUAUAUUGAAUUGAUAGACUCGUAAUCAAAUUGUACUCAACAUGCUAACAUCCAUUUGACUUCUCCAUCCUCAUUCAAAGAUAGCCAAAGCUGAGUGACGUGACGUGAUGGAAACUUAAAUGCUAUGUUUGGUAUUGAAAAAACGAAAUAUAAUAUAAAAAGAAAUUAAUAAAAAAUUUAUAUAUUUUUAAGAAUUAAAAUAUUAUAUUUUUUAAAGACUAUUUUCAAACUCAUAAUACUUUUUUAGGCACUCUCUUUUAAAAAAUUCAAAUCCAAUUUUAAAAUUUAUAAAUUAUUUUUUCAAACGAUAACUUUUUUUAAUUAAAUUUUGUCCGUAAAUUUAAAAAAAUUUCUUGAAUCGUGGUAUUUUAAAAUAGAUUUUUUAAAAAUUAUUAUAUUUUUCUUUUAAUCUCUUGCUUUUUCUUUUAUUCUUUUUUUUCUUUUCCUUAUAUUUUGAUAAUCACUCGUGUGCAAAGAAUAGAAGCUUGGCUUUAAUUUGAUUAGGAUUUUGGUGAAUGCUAGCACAUGGGGAUAUCACUAGACCCCACCAAUCAUGAGUAUGGCAACCAUUGAUCCUACUUAAUUUGCAACUAACCAUUUGAUCUGGUGGACAGGUGAACUAAUCAGAAGGUUGGAUUAUUUUACAAGGAAUCAAAUCAAAGCUAUGAAUUGUAGGGUCAUGAUUCACUUAUUCCAUACACACCAUCUUAUAAUCAUAACAAACAACAAUUUAAAGGAUAAACUGAGAAGUAGAGCUAGCUAUUUCUCCAAGGAGAACUAAUGGAUAAAUGUAGAACACCCUGAUGGCAUACAGAACAGCUGAUUAUGGAGGUGGGCCUCCAGGUCCACCUGGGCCUCCAGGACCACCAAAGCAAUCCUGUAGCAACCAGCAACAGCACAAGAAGUUCAGGCUGCAACCAAAAUCAAGACCAAAAUUAAACUCUGAAAAAGAAAAAUUAAAAGUAAAUAAAUAAAUCUUCAAAUCGCAUUUCCAAACAGCCUCCUAAUGAAAAAGUUGGUCUCCAUCAACCCCACAUUGGUUAGAUUUUACCUUUUAGCAACUAAACGAGAAUUCAAAGAACAAAUGAUUUAAAAUUGGAUCAGUUUUCUGCAUGAAAGAACUUACCAUGAAGAAAUAGCAUCGCAGAAACCGCCAAAGAAACCACCCGGGCCAGGGCCACCGGGGCCAGGACCCCACCCUCCAGGCCCUCCAGGUCCUCCAGGUCCUCCAGGCCCUCCAGGUCCCAUUACUAGCCUCUCUACACCCACAAACCUACGCCAGCGCCGGACUGUGAUAUAAGCUCACAACCUCUGUUGGAAGCUCUGUGGUCGGAUGGCAAUGAGGGAAAGGUUCCGACUCUAUAUAUAGAAGCUUAUAGGAGGCGGAGGAGGGAGGGCGGUGGAGGU